rnacentral:rRNA from 1 species
AUGGAGUCAUCCGCCGCGGGCGGCGACCCGCGCCCGUCGCCGUCCGGGGGCGCCACCCCUCCGCCCCAGCCGCCCCCGCCCCCGCCCAGCGGCUGGCUAGCGGGCCUCGUCUCCGGCGCCGGCCGGCUCCUCGCCUCCGUGCUCGGCCCCUCCCCCUCCUCCUCCCCGCGCGGCUCCGGCCCCGCCGCGUCGGGCGGGUCCGCCGCCUCCUCCCCGACCUCGCUCCGGCAUCCCCGCGCGCGCGGCGAGGGCCUCCACGGCGGCGCCGGCGCUGAUUUUGAUGAUUCUGUGCGUGUCCCAUCGAAAAACAAUCAGUUAAACCAGAGUGAGGAGACUGACCUGAAAGGCUAUACGCAGGGAUCCCUAGCAAUUGUCUCAGAAAUUGAGCCGAAAGAUGCCAUAAUGCAGUUGCUUAUGCAGGAAACCUACUCAAGGUCUGAGUGCAGUACACUAAUAAAGAUAAUUCAAGAGCGGGUUGUGGAUCCAGAUUCAGGUGGAAUUGCUGAUGGUGAGAUUGCUCUUCCGAUCAGUUGGAAGGCUGACAACCAACCAACCCUUGGAUAUUCUUCAUUUAGUCCAAAUGUGUCCUUGCCUUCAACAUCAAACUUUCGAAUCCAUGGCCAUGGUUUUGAUAAUAGUGCUGCUGCCGACACAGUUCCAAUGUUAACUCCUGCCAAUCGUAGCCUUUUCAACGAUAAAGCUGACAAUAUUCAGCCUGCUUUCAAACGAAGGUACUCUGUUGUGCGGGAUAUUCCCGAGGACCUUCGAAGAGUCAGGACAAAGGCUGAUGGAAAUCCGAUACACAUCACAAAAUUUAAGAAAGUUGAUGUUGUUAGAAAUCGUCCAGGAGAAGGCAAUAAACUGUUAUCAGAUGUUCCCCUUCUUGGGGCAAACAACUUAGCGCAUUCUAACAUUCUCUCGAAAGUUGAAGGAGCUAAUGAAAAAUUGGAUGUCCCUAGCAAACCUCCGGCAGUGCCAAAUAAGGAUCUGAAGAACGGCUUUCCUUUGAAGUUGGAACCUUUGGAUGGUCUUAGUCCGUUUGAGCAGAAGAUGAUGGACUUGUCACACCAAAAGCAUAAGGAUGCUGCAUAUGAUGACUCAGGUUCUGUUUCAAAAUUAAUGUUCAUGGGGGAUAUUGAGGCCACGCCUAGCUUGCAGCUACAAAACGGCUCCAAGAACCGCAGAAGAAAGCAAUCCAACUCUCCAAGGACAACUCCGAGGGCCGCAGAUUCGCCCGCCAUGGGCACGCGCCGCAGACUCGGCGACGCUACGGUCAAGGCAGAGAUCAACCUGCUAGAGCAAACCACGCCGAUAACGAUGGCCAAGCAAGAUCCAGACUAUGUCCCAGAGAGGAGGCCUGCCGGGAGGCCGAAGAAGGCCAAGUGA